AAUAAGUGCCGAAUCCAAGCGCACUGACUUCGCUCUCGCUGCCUGAUCAGUGAUCGAGUCCGUCACCCCGAGGUCGCUGUCGCCUCGGACCGUGGCG
rnacentral:tmRNA from 1 species